AUGGAUUUACACCCACAGGUGAUCUGCUGGAAUGUUUGAGGCUUGAACAAUCCAGCCAAACGCAAGGAGGUGCGGGAAUUCGUGAGUACUCUUGAGGUCAACUUAGCUUGCUUGCAAGAAACGAAAUUGGAUGUAAUAGACAGUUAUCUAGUUAUGCAAUGUUUGGGACCAUCGUUCGAUGGUUUUGCUUACUUGCCGGCUAUUGAAACUAGAGGAGGUGUGAUCCUUGCGUGGAAGAGCUCGGACUUGGAGGUGGAGGCCAUACAGAUCGAUACUAACUUCUUGACGGGACGGGUGCGCACUAAAACAAGUGAUCCUUGGUGGAUCUCAGUGGUCUACGGACCGCAAAGCGAUGAGCAAAAGUGCAACUUCUUGGAGUAG
rnacentral:rRNA from 1 species